rnacentral:rRNA from 1 species
CAAUAGCGUAUAUUAAAGUUAUUGCAGUUAAAAAGCUCGUAGUUGGAUUUCUGGUCGGAAGCUCCUGUCCUCUGAUGAGCGUACAAGUGCGUCCUACCAUCCUUCUGUUAACCUUUAAGGCUUUCGCGGCUUUCUAGGGGCUCAGAUAUUUUACCUUGAGAAAAUUAGAGUGUUUCAGGCAGGCUAGCGCCGGAAUACAUUAGCAUGGAAUAAUGGAAUAGGACUUUUGCCUCUUCUGUUGGUCAUGAGGCUCGAGUAAUGAUUAAUAGGGAUAGUUGGGGGCAUUAGUACUUAACUGUCAGAGGUGAAAUUCUCGGAUUUGUUAAAGACUAACUUAUGCGAAAGCAUUUGCCAAGGAUGUUUUCAUUAA